AUACGUAGGUGACAAGCGUUAUCCGGAUUUACUGGGCGUAAAGGGCGUGUAGGCGGUCUUGCAAGUCAGAAGUGAAAUUCCUGGGCUCAACCCCUAAACUGCUUUUGAAACUGUAUCCCUUGAGUAUCGGAGAGGCAGGCGGAAUUCCUAGUGUAGCGGUGAAAUGCGUAGAUAUUAGGAGGAACACCAGUGGCGAACGCGGCCUGCAGGACGACAACUGGCGCUGAGGCGCGAAAGCGUGAGGAGCAAACAGGAUUAGAUCCCCUCGUAGUCCCCACUGUAAACGAUGAAUGCUAGGUGUAGGGGGUAUCGACCCCUUCUGUGCCGCAGUCAACACAAUAAGCAUUCCGCCUGGGGAGUACGGCCGCAAGGUUGAAACUCAAAGGAAUUGACGGGG
rnacentral:rRNA from 1 species